CCCGGUGUCCUGGCGACGGACUUGAGGAAGGCGGCUGCGCGCGGACGGAGCAGUGGCGGGACUACAAAUCCCAUACCCAAGCAAAAGAACGGGUCAACUGAGCUCACAGCGCUGGGAGGUGGGGUAGGAUGGACUAGAAUGAACUCUUGCCUCGCCCCAAACGCUGAAGGUGCCGGCGGGGACCGUGAGCAACGUUUGACGCGGAUCCUGCCUCACACACAUAAAUAAUAUAAAUCAUUCGGUUUUCGCAGCAGCAGGCGGUGACUUAAAACUGGUGAACGGAACGACGCGGCCACAAAAACGACUUGCCGAACUUUUUGAAGGGUCUGAAAGGCCGCGGUUUUCUGAGGAUAAGUUCGCGGGUUCCGAUUCCAGAUCUCAGAAAUGGAAUCAAACUUAAUGCCUAAGCCACUUCUCAGCAAGGAUCCGCAGUGCUGAGUUGAAACAUUUCAGUUAGCUUUUCUCCUCCACCGUGGUGUCUUCAGCAUGCUGGCUAGGGAAUUAUAAGAUCUGAAAUCUUAUCGGGAAGCUAUCAGAUUCGAAAAAUUGGAUGAAAAUAACAGAUGAACCAGUGCAGAGACAAAUGAAAUGUUCUUAAUAGAAAUCAAAAGCAAAAGAACACCCUGAAUCUUAAAUCAACUGAAUACUCUGGAUUCUCACAAUAUGCAAAACCAUAAUCUGCUCUGAACAUGCAGCUCUCCUUCCCACCCCACCCUUGAUGAUAGCACAACUGUCAUGUGUCAGAGGCAUCUGGAACACACUGAUAUUGCUAAAAGUUAUUUGCAUGCACAGUCACACAGCAUGUCUAGAUACUUUUUUUCAAGUCUGUUUUGCAAAAGAGAAGGCUACUAGAAAUAGCCUGCUAACACAAGGGACCUGUUACUAUGGUAAAUGUGAACCAAGUGAGGCGAGAGAGCACAGAAUAAAAACAAGCUUUGGAUAAUUGCAUGCAACAUCCCACAGCAGCCCUACAGAUAUAGAUUAGUAAAGUGCAGAAACUGCCUUCAGAGCUAAGGAGGAAUUGUGAUGAUAAUAUCAACCUUAUUUAAUUGCACGGGAGUAUGGUGGAGAAGGAAGGAGGAGGGGAAGCACUUUCCUGUUGGACUAAAAUUUGCUGGAUGUCUGCAUGAAGUCAAGACUGGAGACCAAUUUCUCUCUUUACACAUGAGGUUUUCAUACAGGGUGGAAGUACUCUACCUUACAGACUAAACUUUACAAAGCCAAUACAGUAGAUUAAACACAUAUUGUAUGUAUGAAAUAUAGCUAUGAAUGUAGUAGCGCUUUAAUUUAACAUCCUUUUUGGGAGUUUUAACCAGGAUUAAUAGCUCCAAAUUCAAAUAGGCUUAAUAAUUAGUUGCAUAUGCAUGGCUGCCUGCCUUUUGAUUGUCUAUCAUUUUUUCCAUUGCAGUCAGUCAAUCAUAGCUAUAAUCCCUGACUGUAUUUCAUUGGAAUAGGAAACUGUAAAGAACACCUGUCAUACAAUCAGGGUGCCACUUCUUUUCUUUUCUUCCAAAAUGGUUUAGUUGACAAGGGCACAAAUACGCUACGAUAAUGAUCUGAACAGUCCUGAUAUUUCCUGGUGCCUUCAUGGACACAUCUGUCAUUUUCUUGAUCACAGUAGGGCAGACACUCUCCCUCCCUCCCUCCCUUUUUCCAGUCUAACCUACAGUUCUGGUAUUCCUCAGGUAUUAAUCAGGUCUGACUCAGUUUAGCUUUCCAGAUCAGUCAAGGUCAGUUAGUUGGUUUCUAACAGAGUGAGCAGGAGAUAAGCAAUGCAACAUAUAGUAUAUAAGAUGUUUUUCCUAAAAUCCGGCCAAGUAUACCAAGCUUUAUACAUAUCUAAGAAAAGUCAUGAUGAUGUAAUGUGCUUCACGAUACCAUCAUGAAAAUAACGUGAGCUGUAUAAUUUGUGUCAGUCAUAUAAUGAUACAAAUGAUACAUAGUACAGGUAAUCUUCUUUUAAUAUCCACUUGUUCACGACUGUUCAAAGCUAUGAGGGUGCUAAAACAAAUGGUACUUACAACUGGACCUUAGAUUUCCAACCUUUCAGCAUCCCUGUGGUCACGUGGUCACAAUCUGGGAACUUGGCAACCAGCUCAACUUACCAGUUGCAACAUCUUGUGGUCAUGUGGUCACCUUUUGCAACCUUUCCUGCUGGCUUCCCACAAGCAAAGUCAAUGGGAAAGCCAGCAGGAAAGGUCACAAGUCACUCGUGUAAGUUGCUUGCACUCUUUCCUCCCUCGCAGGAACCAUCCCUGCUAAAGCCACACUCAUGGUACACUUAAGUGGUGGGCCACUUUGCACACCUUCUCCUGCCCGGCAGCAGCCAGCCCUGAUUCCCUGCACCACCCUCUCCUACCUUGCAACCCAGCCACCCCUGGUCUCACUACACUGUGCUAUGCCUCAUGCCAUGCCUUACCUACCUGCUGACCUGCAUGCAAGCCACAUGGGAAUCACUUAACAAUCCACAACACUUGGUUAAAGAAAGCAGCAGAGAUUGCCAGGAUUGCUGUCAUUAAGUGAUGCAGUCACAUGACUUUGCACUUUAUGACUACAUUGUUUAGUGAUAAAAAUUCCAGUCUUAAUUACCGUUGUUAACUAAGGACUACCUGUAUGGCAUUUGCAUCAUGAGGUAAUGAAACACAUAAGACCACCUGCCUCCUUAGAGCUUGAAAAUCAAUCAAUUAAUGGUAACGUUACAGCAGUAGACAGCACUGUAUCACUUUACCUCUGGCUUCAGGUUGCUACACAGCUAAAAAAAAUGGGGGGGGGAUUCAGGUUACAUGGUUAUACUAAAGUAAAGAAAGAAGAAAAACUGUUCUCUGUAUUUUCUUGUUUGCACUCUGAUGAAAGUGGCAGAGAACAGAAGAGAGAAUAGUCUUCUAUCUUGAGAUCCUCUGCAAGCCUCAGUUAAAUCAGUAGCACCAUCUACUGUUCUUAUUAUAGAUUUUGCAAUAGGGAAAAUGAUAUCUUCAUAUUGUCCUAUAGACAUUAAAUAAUUAGCACCAAGCAAUGGAGCAGUAAUAUUUAUAACUCCACAAUGUGAACAGAGAGACAAAAUUAAAAUCUUGUUAUUGUAUCGGGGUCAAAGGGAGGACAAAAUAAUCAGAUCAAGAAAAAGACAGGAGAAAUAGCACCAUCGUGCACUAUUACUUGUCUGGGGGCUGCAACCAAGGAGGGACGAUGGAUUAUUAAUUAAUAUGAAUCUCUCUUGAUAACAUACUACAUUACUAUUGUAGGUGGGUUAUUGUUUUAGCACAAUUCUACAAAAUCCUAUAACAAUUGGCCAUAGGGAUUCAUGCAUUGGUAUCUUCAAGACUGGAUUUAUGUGAUGCCUUUAAUGUGGGUCUGACUCUGAUCUUGGGGUUUGUCCUGUAGAAUGCAGUGGGACUAAAUCAGGACUAAAUCAGGACUACUGAGUAAGACUGAAGAAGUUAUUAUCACAUAAAUCCUUUCUAGGAUUGUUAUACCAGCAGCCUUUGUGGAAAGCUAUUGGAUACUUUCAUAGAAUAAUUUGAAAAAUCUAUUUAACUGCAAAGUGAGAGAAAAAGAAAGCCACAAGUGUCCAACACAUUCAUAAAUAAUGUCCUUGAAACUUGAUAAAUAGAUGUCAAAAUAAUUCAUACUUUUUCUGUAUGAGUCAUUCAUAGACUGUUGUUGGUUGCCUCCACUCCAAUCUUCACUUCUAUUUGUGCAUUUUAUAUUUACUAGUUAGAUUGCAAUGUUAUUAUGUUUAGUGUAGAAUAGCUCAUGGACUUAAGAUGUAUUACUAUCCUAUACAGCAGCGGUUCUCAAACUAUGGGUCGGGACCCCUUUGGGGGUCGAAUGAUGAUUUGCCAGAGGUCGCCUAAGACCAUCGGAAAUAUGGGAAGUAUACUUGCGAGUCGAAGAAUCGCGCUCCAAUGGUUGACUCCACAAGCCAGCUGCAGGCUCUUCAAAUCGCUAGCUGAAUUCGGCUUCAGGCACGAUGAAUUAAAAAAGAGAGAAAUCUUUGCUCUGAUGUCUCCCUCUCAAGCCAGCUGCAAUCACUCCCAAUCGCUAGCCUAAUCUGGCUUCAGGCGCAAUAAACUUAAUAGGGGAGGAGUCUCCACUUUAAUGCCUCCGUACUCAAGGCAAUCGCAAGCAGUUCAGAUCGCUAGCCAAUAUGGCUUCAGGUGCGAUAAAUUCAAAAUGAAAAUAAUUUUACGGUUGGGGUCGCCACAUCAUGGGGAAUUGUAUUAAAGAGGUCGCCACAUCGUGUGGAAUUGUAUUAAAGGGGCCGCAGCACUAUAAAGGUUGAGAACCACUGCUAUACAGGAAAGGAGAAAAGGGCCCUUUAAGAGUGUCGUCUGACAUAAAAAAGGGGAGGGGGGAGAAAAGGUGUGAAGACCAGAUGCGCGGGCUUUUCAACGAAACCUGCAUUCCUGGCAUGCCAAGCAGCCGGCGACCUUCGGAAGAAGUUACCACGGGGGGCGAGAGGGAGCUGGCAUUGGCCCAGCCCUGCCUGACCUCUUGUGGGAAGGAGGGACUAAAGAGGGGAUAUGGGAUGUUGGCCAUAUUUUGUCUCAGAUUCAACUAUCCACGGCUGUAUUCCAGAUGUAUUUAGUAAAAGUACUUUUCUUUAUUUUCAAAUGAAGUCAAGGUGUUUUCUUUCCUAAAUAUAAUAAGAGACAGUCUGACAGAUCCUGACUAGGCAUAGGAUUAAAUGAGUGAUCUGAAGCCAUAUGGAAAAAUACCAUCUGAAAUAGAGUGCUGUCAACAUCGUCUCUAUAUGCAGCCAAAAUAUUGCAAUGGAUAUUGAACUGGAUAAAUGUGCCAUACCUACCAUCAACAAGGGAAAAAUAAUGAAAAAUAAAGAAAUAAAGAGGCUCUAUGGAAGUAACAUCAAAAAGUCAGUGAAAUUCAC